UGGGGAAUAUUGGACAAUGGGCGAAAGCCUGAUCCAGCCAUGCCGCGUGAAGGAUGAAGGUCCUCUGGAUUGUAAACUUCUUUUAUCUGGGACGAAAACGGGAUUUUUAUCUCAAUUGACGGUACCAGAGGAAUAAGCACCGGCUAACUCCGUGCCAGCAGCCGCGGUAAUACGGAGGGUGCGAGCGUUAUCCGGAUUUACUGGGUUUAAAGGGUGCGUAGGUGGGCUUAUAAGUCAGUGGUGAAAUCUCCGAGCUUAACUUGGAAACUGCCGUUGAUACUAUAGGUCUUGAAUUAUCUGGAGGUAAGCGGAAUAUGUCAUGUAGCGGUGAAAUGCUUAGAUAUGACAUAGAACACCUAUUACGAAGGCAGCUUACUACAUAUAAAUUGACGCUGAGGCACGAAAGCGUGGGGAACAAACA
rnacentral:rRNA from 1 species